rnacentral:rRNA from 1 species
AUUGAACACUGGCGGCAUGCCUUACACAUGCAAGUCGAACGGCAGCACGGGGCAACCUGGUGGCGAGUGGCGAACGGGUGAGUAAUGCAUCGGAACGUACCUUUCAGUGGGGGAUAACGUAGCGAAAGUUACGCUAAUACCGCAUAUUCUGUGAGCAGGAAAGCAGGGGAUCGCAAGACCUUGCGCUGAUUGAGCGGCCGAUGUCAGAUUAGCUAGUUGGUGAGGUAAAGGCUCACCAAGGCGACGAUCUGUAGCGGGUCUGAGAGGAUGAUCCGCCACACUGGAACUGAGACACGGUCCAGACUCCUACGGGAGGCAGCAGUGGGGAAGUUUGGACAAUGGGGGCAACCCUGAUCCAGCCAUGCCGCGUGAGUGAAGAAGGCCUUCGGGUUGUAAAGCUCUUUCGGCCGGGAAGAAAUCGCACGGGCUAAUACCCUGUGUGGAUGACGGUACCGGAAUAAGAAGCACCGGCUAACUACGUGCCAGCCGCCGCCGUAA